rnacentral:rRNA from 1 species
GACGAACGCUGGCGGCGUGCUUAACACAUGCAAGUCGAACGGAGAGGCCCUGCUUUUGUGGUGUGCUCGAGUUGCGAACGGGUGAGUAACACGUGAGUAACCUGCCCUUGACUUUGGGAUAACUUCAGGAAACUGUGGCUAAUACCGCAUAGUAGCUCCUGCUGCAUGGCGUUUGCUGGAAAGUUUCGGUGGUUGGGGUUGGACUCGCGGCUUAUCAGCUUUUUGGUGGGGUAGUGGCUUACCAAGGCUUGGACGGGUAGCCGGCCUGAGAGGGUGACCGGCCACAGAGGGCCUGAGGUAGGGGCCGGAGUGAUACGGGAGGAAGCGGCGGAGAAUAGAGCAAAAUGGGCGGAAGGCGGAAGGAGCAACGCCGGGUGCGGGAGGACUGUUGUCGGGGUGGAAAGCGCUUGAGCCUGGGACGAAGAGUGAGUGACGGUAAUGGGUAAAGAAGCAACGGCUAACUACGUG